GUAGGAAUCAGAAGCUGACUUGGAUUCAAACUCUUAAGUCGCGGAAAUUAGAAGUUCUACUUUGACAAGGAAACCCAAUCCUACUCAGAUAAGAAAUCCUAGUGUGACAAGGAGUCCCUGUUGGAUAAGGAUUACUCAAGAAGGUUCCGGAAGAGUGUGGAAGCAUCUUGGAAAAGGAAGCAGUAUUCAACUAGGAAACCUACUUGCAUAU